UGCAGAAUCCCGUGAACCAUCGAGUCUUUGAACGCAAGUUGCGCCCCAAGCCUUUGGGCCGAGGGCACGUCUGCCUGGGUGUCA
rnacentral:rRNA from 1 species